AAAUUCUAGGUCAAACUUAUACCUCAUAUACAUUUUUUGCAGACUGAACCUUUAUCAUUCGAGGGAUAAUUAAAAAUAACUUGCCAUAAAUGUUCAUACUAUGGUAACUCCAUGUUUGGUGCAAAGCCUGUAUCAUAGUUUAUGCAAUGCUAAGGUCAAUACUCAAAUUAUUAGCUAUAUGCACAUUUUGCCAUUACUGCAUUUAAAAACAUAAAGUUUAUCUUUUAAGCUCACCUGAGCACAAUCUGAUCAUGGUGAGCUUUUGUGAUCGCCUUUUUUGUCACCUGUCGUCAACAUUUGCGUUGUUAUCACUCUCAGUGUGGCCAUACCACGUGGUUUGUGACGUCAUUUUGGCUAGCACGCUAAGUAGAAAUUUGUCAACAUUGGCCCCGCUUAGAAAUUUCAAAUCCACAUACACAUGAUGACGACCGAAGAGCGAUAUAUUUGUGCCAUAUGCGCCAGAGGGGUACAAGCACAGGCGCUAUUUGGUUUACCAUGAAAGAACACACGCUGGGAUGUUAACCUUUAACUGUUGCGGCGUUGGGUUUUCAUCAAGACGACAAUUACAAAGACACAGGUGCAAUGUACACGGUGACGGAAAAACUAUCUUUGCCUUUAUUGUGGAAAAGAAUUCGCAACGAAGGUAGAUUUAGAUGGCCCGAGAACAGCGCACUCGAGAGAUCGAGUGCCAGAUAUGCAACCACAAGGCCACAACACGGGCUCAUCUCCGAGAACAUCUCAAAACACACAGCGAGGAAAACACACACGUUUGCCAUGUGUGCAAAGCCGCCUAUAAACACAUAAGUUCACUGUAUAGGCACUUUGGGCAAAAGCACAAAUGACGUGUAUACAGUGGUUUUACUUGUUUGUGAUUUACCCGUGAUUUAUUUGUGAUUUACCCGUGAUUGAAUUGUUGCGAUAAAAGCAUAAUCAUCAGAUCUCAAGCAUAAUUAACUUUUGAACCGUAUCUGUUUAUACCACGAUGUUUACUUGUUGCGUUUUUUUUUACUUUUUAUUGUACUUUUUAUUGUUUUUUUUUAUGUUUUGUUAAUGCUACUGUUAUAUUAUAGCAGUUGUGAUUUGUAUUGUGAUUAAAAUGUAAUUUUAUAAUUGUGAUUAAUGCUUUAUAAUCAGAUCUCAAGCAUAAUUAAGAUGUGAAUCGUAUCUGUUUAUACCACGAUGUUAACUUGUUGCGUUUCUUUUCUUUUUAUUGUAUUUUAUUAUUUUGUUAACGCUACUGUUAUAUUAUAGCAAUUGUGAUUUAUAUUGUCAUUUGCAUGUGAUUCAAUGAUGCCAUUUAACAUUGUUUCAUUAAUU